rnacentral:rRNA from 1 species
UUAAGCGACUAAGCGUACACGGUGGAUGCCCUGGCAGUCAGAGGCGAUGAAGGACGUGCUAAUCUGCGAAAAGCGCCGGCGAGGUGAUAUGAACCUUUGACCCGGCGAUGUCCGAAUGGGGAAACCCAGUGCAAUCCGUUGCACUAUCGUUAACUGAAUACAUAGGUUAACGAGGCGAACCGGGGGAACUGAAACAUCUAAGUACCCCGAGGAAAAGAAAUCAACCGAGAUUCCCCCAGUAGCGGCGAGCGAACGGGGAGCAGCCCGGAGUCUGAAUCAGCUUGUGUGUUAGUGGAACGGUCUGGAAAGUCCGACGGUACAGGGUGAUAGUCCCGUACACGAAAGCACACAUGCUGUGAACUCGAAGAGUAGGGCGGGACACGUGGUAUCCUGUCUGAAUAUGGGGGGACCAUCCUCCAAGGCUAAAUACUCCUGACUGACCGAUAGUGAACCAGUACCGUGAGGGAAAGGCGAAAAGAACCCCGGCGAGGGGAGUGAAAAAGAACCUGAAACCGUGUACGUACAAGCAGUGGGAGCCUCUUUAUGGGGUGACUGCGUACCUUUUGUAUAAUGGGUCAGCGACUUAUAUUCUGUAGCAAGGUUAACCGUAUAGGGGAGCCGAAGGGAAACCGAGUCUUAACUGGGCGUUAAGUUGCAGGGUAUAGACCCGAAACCCGGUGAUCUAGCCAUGGGCAGGUUGAAGGUUGGGUAACACUAACUGGAGGACCGAACCGACUAAUGUUGAAAAAUUAGCGGAUGACCUGUGGCUGGGGGUGAAAGGCCAAUCAAACCGGGAGAUAGCUGGUUCUCCCCGAAAGCUAUUUAGGUAGCGCCUCGUGAACUCAUCUUCGGGGGUAGAGCACUGUUUCGGCUAGGGGGCCAUCCCGGCUUACCAACCCGAUGCAAACUACGAAUACCGAAGAAUGUUAUCACGGGAGACACACGGCGGGUGCUAACGUCCGUCGUGAAGAGGGAAACAACCCAGACCGCCAGCUAAGGUCCCAAAGUCAUGGUUAAGUGGGAAACGAUGUGGGAAGGCACAGACAGCCAGGAUGUUGGCUUAGAAGCAGCCAUCAUUUAAAGAAAGCGUAAUAGCUCACUGGUCGAGUCGGCCUGCGCGGAAGAUGUAACGGGGCUAAACCAUGCACCGAAGCUGCGGCAGCGACNUGCUGGAGGUAUCAGAAGUGCGAAUGCUGACAUAAGUAACGAUAAAGCGGGUGAAAAGCCCGCUCGCCGGAAGACCAAGGGUUCCUGUCCAACGUUAAUCGGGGCAGGGUGAGUCGACCCCUAAGGCGAGGCCGAAAGGCGUAGUCGAUGGGAAACAGGUUAAUAUUCCUGUACUUGGUGUUACUGCGAAGGGGGGACGGAGAAGGCUAUGUCAGCCGGGCGACGGUUGUCCCGGUUUAAGCAUGUAGGCGGAGGUUCCAGGUAAAUCCGGUACCUUGUUAACGCUGAGGUGUGAUGACGAGGCACUACGGUGCUGAAGUGAUAAAUGCCCUGCUUCCAGGAAAAGCCUCUAAGCAUCAGGUAACACGAAAUCGUACCCCAAACCGACACAGGUGGUCAGGUAGAGAAUACCAAGGCGCUUGAGAGAACUCGGGUGAAGGAACUAGGCAAAAUGGUGCCGUAACUUCGGGAGAAGGCACGCUGAUAUGUAGGUGAAGUCCCUGCGGACGGAGCUGAAAUCAGUCGAAGAUACCAGCUGGCUGCAACUGUUUAUUAAAAACACAGCACUGUGCAAACACGAAAGUGGACGUAUACGGUGUGACGCCUGCCCGGUGCCGGAAGGUUAAUUGAUGGGGUUAGCGGCAACGCGAAGCUCUUGAUCGAAGCCCCGGUAAACGGCGGCCGUAACUAUAACGGUCCUAAGGUAGCGAAAUUCCUUGUCGGGUAAGUUCCGACCUGCACGAAUGGCGUAAUGAUGGCCAGGCUGUCUCCACCCGAGACUCAGUGAAAUUGAACUCGCUGUGAAGAUGCAGUGUACCCGCGGCAAGACGGAAAGACCCCGUGAACCUUUACUAUAGCUUGACACUGAACACUGGUCCUUGAUGUGUAGGAUAGGUGGGAGGCUUUGAAGCGUGGACGCCAGUCUGCGUGGAGCCAACCUUGAAAUACCACCCUUUAAUGGCUGGUGUUCUAACGUAGACCCGUAAUCCGGGUUGCGGACAGUGUCUGGUGGGUAGUUUGACUGGGGCGGUCUCCUCCCAAAGAGUAACGGAGGAGCACGAAGGUUGGCUAAUCCUGGUCGGACAUCAGGAGGUUAGUGCAAUGGCAUAAGCCAGCUUGACUGCGAGCGUGACGGCGCGAGCAGGUGCGAAAGCAGGUCAUAGUGAUCCGGUGGUUCUGAAUGGAAGGGCCAUCGCUCAACGGAUAAAAGGUACUCCGGGGAUAACAGGCUGAUACCGCCCAAGAGUUCAUAUCGACGGCGGUGUUUGGCACCUCGAUGUCGGCUCAUCACAUCCUGGGGCUGAAGUAGGUCCCAAGGGUAUGGCUGUUCGCCAUUUAAAGUGGUACGCGAGCUGGGUUUAGAACGUCGUGAGACAGUUCGGUCCCUAUCUGCCGUGGGCGCUGGAGAAUUGAGGGGGGCUGCUCCUAGUACGAGAGGACCGGAGUGGACGCAUCACUGGUGUUCGGGUUGUCAUGCCAAUGGCACUGCCCGGUAGCUAAAUGCGGAAGAGAUAAGUGCUGAAAGCAUCUAAGCACGAAACUUGCCCCGAGAUGAGUUCUCCCUGAGAC